rnacentral:lncRNA from 13 species
AGCCGCGCAUCUGGAAGCAUGAAAGAUGGGCUUAGAGCAGGAGAGCAGUGGUCAGAGUGAGGCUGUGCAGCCGGACGCACACAGUUGACAGCAUCAGCCGCCGCAGCCGUGACAUGCCGCCUGUCUCCCAGACCAGCAUGUACUUGUGGGGACAGAAAGGGGCAGAGGUCUCAGCGUCUCCCAGCCUGGAAGAAGGGGAAAGACAGCUACAACAUGACCCUGGUAUCCAUCUCAUGUGACCCAGCUGUGACCUCAGAACAGAUGGGGCCGGGCACCUCCCGUGGCAACCCCGCGUGGCCCCGAGUUCAACUGGGAGGUGACUGCAGCCCACGGACCAGAUCGGACUUCCAGAGGUGACACUGGGAUGAGGAGAGGGGAAGGGUCCUCUGGGAAUUGUGGCAAAGGUCAGCUACCUCUUGUGUUAGGAAUACACCUGCCUUGGGUGAAGUUCUGAGUGGACCUCAGCCUGGGACAGGGUGACACUGGCUCCAUCCCAUUCCUCUGGAUUCUGCCCCCUUUGGAGCUGGGGUAUAAGAUCCUGGCACACAUGACUUCAGGCGAGGCUGGGGGAGGAGGAAAUCACAGGUUGAGUCCAGGUUGUGUGUCCAGAGAACUUUACUGAUCUCGCAGUGUUUUCAUAGCACGUUCUCAUCACUCUAAGUAAGCAUAGGGUACAGGCAGAUCAGUUUAUCCCAUUGCACGGUAGAGGAAAGUGAGGUGCUAAGCCAGUCUGUAACUCACCCAGUUAUGCAGCUUGUGACUGACAAAGUUGGACUUGAACCUAGGUCCUCCUGGCUCCGGAGCCAAGGAUCUUCUCCCUCUUCAGGGCAUUUGAAACUGGAUGGACUAUUAUCACAGCGUCAUUAAAUGCAUUCAUUUUCCAGAAGGGGCAUCUCAAGACCAGAGAGAAAAACUGACUUCCACAGGGCUGUAUGGUCAAACAGGUGGUAGAUUACAGUCAAGAGCCUGGGUCUCCUGAUCCCUGAGCCAGGAGAAGUGCCAUGCUGGCAAAGUCCCAGGGAAGGAAGACCAGGUAUCCUACAGCUGUGUUUCCCUGGGAAGGGACUGGUUGGUGGGGGCCAGGUGGGAUGUCUUGCCCCUGGGCUUUGCUGGGGCUAUGGUAUCUGAUUGUCUUUUAGAUCAGUC